rnacentral:rRNA from 1 species
CUUUUACAAUGAAGAGUUUGAUCCUGGCUCAGGAUGAACGCUAGCUACAGGCUUAACACAUGCAAGUCGAGGGGCAUCAGGAAGAAAGCUUGCUUUCUUUGCUGGCGACCGGCGCACGGGUGAGUAACACGUAUCCAACCUGCCCUUUACUCGGGGAUAGCCUUUCGAAAGAAAGAUUAAUACCCGAUGGGAUAAUUAUUCCGCAUGGUUUGAUUAUUAAAGGAUUCCGGUAAAGGAUGGGGAUGCGUUCCAUUAGGUUGUUGGUGAGGUA